GUCGCCGGGGCCCGUAGUCCUUCUGCGAGGGCGCGAGGACUCCAGGAGCCGUCCUGGUUCGAGCAUUUCUGAAGAAACUGAGUUCCCGGCGUUCGCAGCCUGGGAGUCACAGGCGCCCACCCACCGAUAUGCAAUUUCACUUACAGGAUCUUGUUCUUCAGUGACAUGUCAUAAGAGUUAAUAAUUCCACAAGCCACCCUGCACUGCUGUGAUCCUAACAAUAUUGAAAGGUUGGUGUGUAUCCUUUCCUACCUUUCCUCAUUCUAAAAUGUUUCCUCGUUCUAAAUGCCAAGCUGGUUUUGAACAACUGACCUCAGGUGAUCCACCUACCUUGGCCCCUCAAGGUGCUGGGAUUAUAGGCAUGAGCUAACAUGCCCAGCCCUAAUCUGCUCUUCUUAGAUGGAUACUUGUCAGAUUGGGUUAAGACCCACUCUCAUGGCCUCAUUUUAACUUAAUUUUCUCUUUAAUAAAAGUCCAAAUGCAGUCCAUUCUGAA
rnacentral:lncRNA from 1 species